UCCAUGGCCGGAAGCAAGAUGUGAGGAUGAGGGGACAGAAGCAAGAUGUGAGGAUCAGGGGACGCUAUGUCGCCUCCAUCCCUGACCUUCUUCUUGGCAUGUACUGGUUGGACAUGCUCUGCUUCCUUUACUCCCACCUUUCGGCCUCGAUGCCUCUGCAUAUUUCUCCAUCACUCUCUUGCAGGUAUCUACUUCCUCAACAAGUGAGCAUGCCUGCAUUUAUCACUUGUGCAUACGAAACAUAAAGGCACAUACAAACCCCCUGCUCAGGAGCUCCUCCUCUCUAGGAGUAUAAACAUGACUACAAACAGGAGUAGUUAAUAUUACUGUAUAGCAAAUUAAGCUAGACCGCUGUGCCCUUUCUUCCUGUUGGAUUUCGACGACGGACAGAAGACGCAUGGUCCGUGGUCAGGCCCGCCUCUGUUCACCUGGUCAAUUUCUUCAUAGAUCACGACAUUCUUCCUCCCGUGACAUACACUAGCUUAAGAAGGCACGACAAUCAGGGUUCUUUGAAGGAGACAAGUUCAAAGGCAACUGGUGUGACAUAUACCAUCACUGGUGUUAUAGAGGAAGUUGCUGACACCAAGCUUAAAAUAACUGAGCUUCCUGUCCGCCGCUGGACUACAGAUUACAAAGAGUUUCUUGAAUCCAUGUGUCCUAUUCCUAUCAAGGAAAAGGAAAAGAGCAAGGACAAAAACAAGGAAAAGAAGAAGGACAAGGACAAGGACAAGGAAAGGAAAAGAGCAAGGAACCGCCAUUGUUAGAGGAAAUAAGGUCGCAGUGUGAUCACGCGGAUGUGGAAUUUGAGCUUAUACUGAGUGAGCAAAACAUGAAUAUAGCUAAGCAAGAAGGCCUUGAGAAGAAAUUCAAGCUGACUACCACAAUAGGAACAACAAACAUGCAUUUGUUUGAUUCACAUGGUAAAAUAAAAAAAUAUGACACCCCAGAGGAUGAUGGUCACCAAAUGAUUGUUCCAUCUGUGCUGAUCCGCGAGAUCCUAAAGUUGAUGCUGGAAGAGUGGCCCCUAUUAGGUGUUACUGGUAAUCCAAACUUGUAUUAGCAUUAAACUGAUGGAUAUAGUAGGUAUGAUGAGUGGGAUGUGAAAGGUGCAAUAAGGAGACAUCAAUAGAUUGAUUGUUUAUAUUAUAUAACCAUAACAUACUUUUAGUUUUGAAAUUAUGAUUUGAGCGUAUGAUUAAA